rnacentral:lncRNA from 1 species
GCUGUUGCUGGGACACCAGCCUGCACUUCAGACAAGUCUUGGCUCAAGUCUUAGGGUUGCUGUUUUCCUGCCUGUGUGGCUUUAGGAAAUCACUUCACCGCUCUGUGAAAUGGGCAUGCAGGCAUCCUAAGGGAUAAGAAGAGAAUGAAAGGAGAUGAGAGCCGCUGUCAUCAGUUAUAGACAUCACAGUGAUCUUCCUUUUCUCCUCCUUCUGUGGAAUGUGAGAUCCAGAGCGCAGGCCAGCUCGCCUCGGUUCCCACCGUGUCCCCAGGUCUGGUGCACAGGAGGUGCUGAGCGAGUGUGUCAGGAACCGAUGGUGUCUCCAGCGCCUAUCCUGGGCACUGCUGGGGUUUGGGAGACUCUGGGAAAGCCAUCUGUCCCAAUGGGCCACCUACUUGCUCACUGGAAAUGCUAGCCAGGCUGCUACAGUCUCUCUGAGGGGAGUCAUUUCUCCAGACCAGAGAAAACAGUAGGUACUAAGACAACUUAAUGGAGAGAGAAUCAUCUUCCAACAAAUGGUGCCGAGACAACGGGAGAUCCAUGUGCAGAAAAAUGAGCUGGGACCCUGCCUCACAUCAUACACGAAAUUAACUCAAAAUGGAUGGAUCAGGGCUGGGGUUGUGACUCAGCACUUGCCUGUGUGUGUGAGCAGUGCAUACAAACAAAUAAAAUAAAGGUCCAUCAAGAACUAAAAAAAAAAAUAUUUAAAAACAGAUGGAUCAGACUAAAGUUAAAAGCUGAUACUAUAAGCCUCUUAAAAGAAAGUAUAGGGCUGGGGAUGUGGCUCAAGCGGUAGCGCGCUCGCCUGGCAUGCAUACGGCCUGGGUUCAAUCCUCAGCACCACAUACAAACAAAGACGUUGUGUCUGCCGAGAACUAAAAAAAAUAAAUAUUAAGAAAAAAAUUCUCUCUCUCUCUCUCU